AACCUCUGGUGUACCGGUUGUGACGCCAGUCGCAUCGCCGGGUAGCUAUGUUCGGAAGGGAUAACCGCUGAAAGCAUCUAAGCGGGAAGCCUACCUCAAGAUAAGAUUUCCCUAGGACUUUAUGUCCUCUAAAGAGCCGUUCGAGACUAGGACGUUGAUAGGUUGGAUGUGGAAGCAUAGUGAUAUGUGAAGCUGACCAAUACUAAUUGCUCGUGAGGCUUGACUAUACAACACCCAAGCAGUUG
rnacentral:rRNA from 1 species